CCACUCUGGGUGCAAGAAAAAAGCCCGUGCGCUUUCUGCCUGCCUGCCCGCGGCGGCCCAGAUUGAAUGGGGGAAUACAGCA
rnacentral:snoRNA from 1 species